rnacentral:rRNA from 1 species
UACAGAGGGGGCAAGCGCUGUUCGGAAUUACUGGGCGUAAAGGGCGCGUAGGCGGCCUUCUAAGUCGAACGUGAAAUCCCUGGGCUCAACCCAGGAACUGCGUCCGAUACUGGAAGGCUUGAAUCCGGGAGAGGGAUGCGGAAUUCCAGGUGUAGCGGUGAAAUGCGUAGAUAUCUGGAGGAACACCGGUGGCGAAGGCGGCAUCCUGGACCGGCAUUGACGCUGAGGCGCGAAAGCCAGGGGAGCAAACGGG